CAGUAGCCGCGGUAAAACAGAGGGUGCGAGCGUUAAUCGGAUUUACUGGGCGUAAAGCGUGCGUAGGCGGCUUUUUAAGUCGGAUGUGAAAUCCCUGAGCUUAACUUAGGAAUUGCAUUCGAUACUGGGAAGCUAGAGUAUGGGAGAGGAUGGUAGAAUUCCAGGUGUAGCGGUGAAAUGCGUAGAGAUCUGGAGGAAUACCGAUGGCGAAGGCAGCCAUCUGGCCUAAUACUGACGCUGAGGUACGAAAGCAUGGGGAGCAAACAGGAUUAGAUACCCGAGUAGUCCCUGUCUCUUAUAA
rnacentral:rRNA from 1 species